CUCCGGGUUGCUCCCAUGUCACUUGCAGCUCCAAGGCCCCUGUGGGACUGCAGUGGUUUUUCACUGGCAUGCAAGUGAAGCAGAGAUGGGUUUGGGUCUGAAACCUCUCCAGAGGAGGAACACCCUGAACAAGGUCAAGUCCCCUGCUCAUCCCACCACCAUUUUGCCAAGCGAGCUGUUGGGGAAGCACGAAGCCCAGUUACAAGACAAGCACCAGAAGUCCCAGGGGAGCGUCACCAGCGCAGUCAUCUCCACACAUGCAAAGGUCCCUUUUGCCUUGGGUUUUUUUUUUUUCCCCUUUGAAAUUUCAAAUUCCAGUUUGUGGACAAAGUCCUGCCUAUCUGAGAAUAUAGAUCUCCGACCACUGACCAAACUCCACUCCAAGCAGUUCCGAGGGCUGCUCUUCCCCUUGCCCACAGAUGCCUCCGCUCAGCCUCCGGAUCUGCUGGGAUCACACCUUUUGCACUGGAGCAGAGCACUCGUACUUGCACAAAGAGGAUUUUCUGUGUUUCAACCUUAAUGUCAGCAGCUCCCUUUCUCCACACGGAAUGGGAAGGACCAUGGGGAAUAACCAGGACCAGAAAGGGGUUUUAUUAUCCUGCCUAACAAAGGCUCUCAGCAGUUGAGGAAGUAAUUACUAAUAUGCUUGGGAGCUGUUGCUUUGCCAGGAGAGAGUGUGCAGAAUGCCUGAAUAGCCUGUCUUGUCCCCACUGUCCUCAGUUGCCAGAGCACACCAAGCGCCAGAGGGGUAGGUGGGAGCAAAGCAGCACCCGGGAACUCCAUGCCCACAGCAGCUUCGCACCCCUGCAGCCUGUGGCCACCACAGCACCUCCUGUGUAACACGACAUCCUGUCUACUGCCACAGAAACGGAAACACACAGCAGCAAGCAAGGCAUGGGAACAUGGAAGGUUUCUACAGGCAAGGUUUGUUGCAUGGGGAGGGGACAGCAAGGGGAGGAGAUCACACGUGGGCAGGACACUGCAGUGCCAACUGCCUGGCUCCCGACUAACAAACAACAUAGCUAACGGCUAAUUAGCCUCUGAGCAUUUGACCUAUGUCUCCAAGACAGGAUAACACUAUUAUUUGUCCCUUUACAUUCCUGGAAGGCCCAGUGCCAUUGGCCUCUUGUAUCAUAAAGAAAUUAAGAUAUAUUAUGACCAUAAACUACAUCAUUUGAGGAAAUGAACUAUUUCUUAGUAAACCUAUCAUGGGACACCGAAA